rnacentral:tRNA from 1 species
GGGGGUGUGGCUCAGCGGUAGAGCACUUGCCUAGCAUGUGUGAGGCCCUGGGUUCGAUCCUCAGCACCACAU